CUUCACGGUACUGAAUUUGUGAUACAAAGAUCAAUGGAUAGCCAAUUAAUAGCUUAUGUUAUUUUAAUGUAAAUUCUUAGUAAACAACUUAGAAAAAUCCAGUAUAUAUUCAGGGCAAACUGAAUCCAUGUUCCCAGGUUGUAGCCCUCAAAGUUGGCCCAAAUAAACUCUCUGCUUAUAUUAAUUUUGCCUCUUUUUUUCUUUAAAAAUUUUUUUAAAUUUAUUUUUUAUUUUUAUUUUGUAGAGAUGGGGUCUCAUUAUGUUGUCCACGCUGGUCUCAUACUCCUGGACUCCAGCGAUUCUCCUGCCUCAGCCGCUCAAAGUGCUGGGAUUACAGGCGUGAGCCACUGCAUCUGACCAGUUUUUUCUUUAGGUCAACACGGGCGCCUGCCACCAUGCCUGGCUAAUUUUUGUAUUUUUAGUAGAGAUGGGGUUUCACCAUGUUGGCCAGGCUGGUCUUGAACUCCUGACCUCAAGUGAUCCACCCGCCUCAGGCUCCCAAAGUGCUGGGAUUACAGGCAAGAGUCACUGCGUGCAGCCAUGGCUUGACUCUUUUUUUUUUUUUUUUUUUUGAGACGGAGUUUCUCUCUUGUUGCCCAGGCUGGAGUGCGAUGGCACAAUCUCAGCUCACCACAACCUCUGCCUCCCGGGUUCAAGCAAUUCUUCUGCCUCAGCCUCCUGAGUAGCUGGGAUUACAGGCGCCCGCCACCACGCCCGGCUAAUUUUGUAUUUUUAGUAGAGACAGGGUUUCUCCAUGUUGGCCAGGCUGGUCUCAAACUCCCG
rnacentral:lncRNA from 1 species